rnacentral:rRNA from 1 species
GGGGAUAACUAGUCGAAAGACUAGCUAAUACCGCAUACGACCUGAGGGUGAAAGUGGGGGACCGCAAGGCCUCAUGCUAUAGGAGCGGCCGAUGUCUGAUUAGCUAGUUGGUGGGGUAAAGGCCCACCCAGGCCACGAUCAGUAUCUGGUCUGAAAGGACGAUCAGCCACACUGGGACUGAGACACGGCCCAGACUCCUACGGGAGGCAGCAGUGGGGAAUUUUGGACAAUGGGGGCAACCCUGAUCCAGCAAUGCCGCGUGUGUGAAAAAGGCCUUCGGGUUG